ACUGGGGGAGGUCAGCCGAAACUGCGGGACUGGAGGCUCAGAGAGGAAGGUGGAAUUCCCGGUGUAGCGGUGGAAUGCGUAGAGAUCGGGAGGAACACCAGUGGCGAAAGCGGCCUUCUGGCUGAGUUCUGACGCUGAGAUGCGAAAGCGUGGGUAGCAAACGGGAUUAGAUACCCCGGUAGUCCACGCCCUAAACGAUGUAGGCUAGGUGUUGGUGGCAUUUGCCAUCUGUGCCGUAGCAAACGCGUUAAGCCUACCGCCUGGGGACUACGAGCGCAAGCUUAAAACUCAAAGGAAUUGACGGGGGCCCGCACAAGCAGCGGAGCGUGCGGUUCAAUUCGAUGCAACACGAAGAACCUUACCAGGGUUUGACAUGCGCAUAGUAGGGAAGCGAAAGCGAACCGAGCCGC
rnacentral:rRNA from 1 species